UUUGUACUAAAAACAAAAUGAUUGGAAAUGUUUUGAAGAUCGUCUGAAUAUGAAAAAGUGGAAAAUAUUUGUAUAUAUAUGUCGUAACGCAUAUCAGUUCCGUUUUGUACUCUUCGUUUUCGGCAAUAAUUGUUUCGGCAAAAGGUAAUUAUGUGUUGUUUCGUUCUUAUAGCUGUCGUGCUUUUUGUUGGAAGGUAUGCACUGGUGUGAUGAUGCACGGCUAUGGUCAUGUGAAGACUUCAGUGGGCAUUCGCUGCAGUACUUUACAACACACACAGAUUUAGUUAAGAGACAGAAAGAAGCUAGCUUUGUUGAACAGAGAAAAGCCGAGAAGAGAGGCUUGAAAUCCGACAAAGAUUGGACCAGAGAUGGGUUCGUGAAGGAGACUGAGAGUAUGGUUUCUAACUAAGUUACUAGCCUGGUGAAGUGAUGGUGACCAUUCAAUAAAGGUUCUGCAACUUCAUUCACAAACAAAUCACAAAGGCUCUUCCUUUCAAUUGUUUCAAAAUCAACUCAUUCAUCUUGUAUCCAUAGCCAGAGGCCCACAUCGUUUUCUUUGUUCGUUCAACUUGGCUUAAUUUUUGGCCAAUAAUAAAAAUAUCAUAGUCA